UUGAAGAUCCUCGUACCGGUGGCGCCAUC
rnacentral:sRNA from 1 species